UACGUAGGGCGCAAGCGUUAUCCGGAAUUAUUGGGCGUAAAGAGCUCGUAGGCGGUUUGUCGCGUCUGCCGUGAAAGUCCGGGGCUCAACUCCGGAUCUGCGGUGGGUACGGGCAGACUAGAGUGAUGUAGGGGAGACUGGAAUUCCUGGUGUAGCGGUGAAAUGCGCAGAUAUUAGGAGGAACACCGGUGGCGAAGGCGCCGCUCUGGGCCGAAACUGACGCUGAGGAGCGAAAGCAUGGGUAGCAAACAGG
rnacentral:rRNA from 1 species